rnacentral:rRNA from 1 species
CAAUAAAUAACGAUACAGGGCCCAUUCGGGUCUUGUAAUUGGAAUGAGUACAAUGUAAAUACCUUAACGAGGAACAAUUGGAGGGCAAGUCUGGUGCCAGCAGCCGCGGUAAUUCCAGCUCCAAUAGCGUAUAUUAAAGUUGUUGCAGUUAAAAAGCUCGUAGUUGAACUUUGGGCCCGGUUGGCCGGUCCGAUUUUUUCGUGUACUGGAUUUCCAACGGGGCCUUUCCUUCUGGCUAACCUUGAGUCCUUGUGGCUCUUGGCGAACCAGGACUUUUACUUUGAAAAAAUUAGAGUGUUCAAAGCAGGCGUAUUGCUCGAAUAUAUUAGCAUGGAAUAAUAGAAUAGGACGUUUGGUUCUAUUUUGUUGGUUUCUAGGACCAUCGUAAUGAUUAAUAGGGACGGUCGGGGGCAUCAGUAUUCAAUUGUCAGAGGUGAAAUUCUUGGAUUUAUUGAAGACUAACUACUGCGAAAGCAUUUGCCAAGGACGUUUUCAUUAAUCAAGAACGAAAGUUAGGGG